GCCCUUCAGAGGGGGACAACAGUUGGAAACGACUGCUAAUACCGCAUACGAUCUAAUCUCGGCAUCGAGGAAAGAUGAAAGGUGGCCUCUAUUUAUAAGCUAUCACUGAAGGAGGGGAUUGCGUCUGAUUAGCUAGUUGGAGGGGUAACGGCCCACCAAGGCGAUGAUCAGUAGCCGGUCUGAGAGGAUGAACGGCCACAUUGGGACUGAGACACGGCCCAGACUCCUACGGGAGGCAGCAUG
rnacentral:rRNA from 1 species